CUUUGCCCUUUUUAUCUCCUGAGGUCUCUGAGUUCCAGUUUGUCCCGUGUUUGCUUUCACGCAGCUGUUUUGAGGCGUGAGUUAAUAUGAUGCUAUCUAAAGCAAAAUUCCCUAGCCAAGAGAGAAGGUCACUGAUCCUCCAUCAGUCAGCGCACAACAGAUUCUCAUUCUUUAGAGUGGAUUUUGAGAUUUGCAAAUAGAAAUUAAAUCCCUCAAAUUGUCAUAGGAAAAGAAUGGUGAGUGUUGCCACUUGUGGCAUUUUUUUGCUAUUUUGGUUCUUUUUUUUUUUUUUUUUUAUAAAAAUAAUAAAUUGCAUUGCUCUCAUCUUGGACA
rnacentral:lncRNA from 1 species